GCCUGGUUACCUCAGUCGGAAGAGCAUGUGACUCUUGAUCUCAGGGUUGUGAGUUUGAGCCCCACAUUGGGUG
rnacentral:tRNA from 1 species